UCUGAUGGAGAACAUUUGGACCCUUUAGGU
rnacentral:piRNA from 1 species